GAGGCGCAAGAGGACAGUGAGGCUGGGCUCCCAGGCUGGAGUGUCCCAGAGGGCGGUGGGGCGGGAAGCCUGAGGCUCUGCUCUGGAUUCACCAUGCGGCCUCACCAAAUCACUCUACUUCCCAGGGCCUCCAUUUCCCCGUUUCCAGGGUUUCUACUUAAUGGCUUUGUUGAGGCACAAUCCUCCUGAAUAACGAAUAAUGGAAAUGAGAGAGCCCUGAGGGGUGACCAAGUUCCAGGGAGACCAGGAAACAAUGGAACCUUGAUAUUCUAACAUGGUGCUGAGUUCUGAGCUGCUUGUCGCAACCUGGGAAAGGGAUGUAGAAAUUACUCUUUCUUUUACAUGCCUUCACGUCUCUCUUUUCAUUCGGUGAUGAUGCUUGCUCUGUGGACAGUGUGCAGCUCUGUCUGCAGUCCCCUGCCCACUGCCCAGUGGUCAAGGGUCCAGAGAGGCUAACUUACCUCUUGGGAUUGGGAUAGUCCUCUGGACCCGGGGGUUCUGGGGAUGUUUUCAGGAUAUCUGGGAAGAGUAGAGACUGCAGAGAAACACAAUCCAGGGAAAAUAAAUGUUCACGUUCAGUUCCACUGGGACCUCAACCCAGGGCCACUACGUACAACUGUAAAGGUUGUACAGUGCACAACCUGGACAAAAGUCCAUGGCGACCCUGCCUCAGCUCGAGGACUCUUUCUCCCAGUGAUUCCAAAGCUCUGACUGCCUCACCGUCUUCUCUGCUUGCAGAAUCCAGAGAAUUUUUGCAUACAGUCCUCACUUUGUCAAAAGAGCCAGAUAAACGAUUUUCACACCUGAGCCCGAGAGUCACAGCAUCAGAGACACUGAGUGAACACACAGACCUGAUCAUAAGAUGAUUCUGUGAUCAACGGGUGCCCUCCUGUGACUGUGUCAGUCUUCCAUUUCCACCACCAUACUUCUGAUUCUCAAGCGCCAGCCUCAAUAUGGAUGGAGAAACCUGAGACUUGAAGAAAUGCCCCUCAGAUUACCCAACUAGCCCAUGACACAACCAGGACUGUCAAGUACCCAAGCCACAUACUUUCCACUAAGCCACACUGCUUUCCCGCAGUGCAAGAGGGCAAUCCUUGCCACAACAGGAAGAGGCUCAGUUAUGGAACUGCAGGCACUGCAGCAGACUGGUGGGUGGGCGAGGGCCGUCACAAACCGAAUCACACCGCAGGGAGUGCCCUCACGCUGCCCCGCAGCUCAAGCCUGCACUCAGACACAGAGCGGGGACAGCAGCUGGGCCCACACGCAGACAGGCGGGGGUGGCUCUCUCCCGGGGCUUCUUCCAGGGCAGUGUCUCCCAUCCCCCUGAGCCCCGGGGUGUGGGGUAUUAGGCUCUGAAAGGGAGGGAGAGGGAGCUGUCACACAGGAAAGAGAAAUGACAGAAACCUUCUUGCUCCAGGGGCAUGGAGAGGGAGGCACACCCCAAGUUUCUGCUGCGAUAAAUCAUGGGCCUUAAGAUGGAGGGGUGAGAAAAGGCCCCUCCCAGCUGCCUCCUGGGCCUGGGGUUAGAGGAACUUACGGAGCAAGACCAGGUGGCUGCCCCCAAACCCCUCCCAGCCUCAGCCUAAAUGGAACUCCCAAACCAAGGGGGCAGAGAAGGAACAGGGAAAGGCCUGGUGGACCCCACUCUCUGGGUCAACUGGGAACCCCAGCACUUAGCACUGUUCCUUGUUUACAAAAAUGAGUCAAAUAAAAGCACCUGCCAUAUAGGACAAUGAGGACUGAGUGACCCCGUCACAGGAAGAAUGCUCACAACUGGAACAUAAGAAGUGCUUAAUACAAAAAAAAUGAUGCUUUCAUGCCACAGAAAGGGUAUACGUUACAGAAAGCUCAUUCCAGAAUGUCAAAAAUCUUGAGUCUAUGGAAC